rnacentral:rRNA from 1 species
CGCCUGUUUAACAAAAACAUGUCUUUUUGAUUUUUUUUUAAAGUCUGACCUGCCCACUGAAAUUUUUUAAAUGGCCGCAGUAUACUAACUGUGCAAAGGUAGCAUAAUCAUUAGUCUUUUAAUUGAAGGCUGGUAUGAAUGGUUGGACGAGAUAUUAACUGUUUCAUGAAAAUUUAUAAUAGAAUUUUAUUUUUUAGUCAAAAAGCUAAAAUUUAUUUAAAAGACGAGAAGACCCUAUAAAUCUUUAUAUUUAUAUUAUUAUAAUUUUGUAGAUUCUUUUUAUUAUAAUAAUAGAUUAUAUUUUAUUGGGGUGAUAUUAAAAUUUAAUAAACUUUUAAUUUUUUAAAUCAUUAAUUUAUGAAUAAUUGAUCCGUUAUUAGCGAUUAAAAAAACAAGUUACUUUAGGGAUAACAGCGUAAUUUUUUUGGAGAGUUCAUAUCGAUAAAAAAGAUUGCGACCUCGAUGUUGGAUUAAGAUAUAAUUUUAGGUGUAGCCGCUUAAAUUUUAAGUCUGUCCGACUUUUAAAUUCUUACGUGAUCUGAGUUCAGACCGG